UACAGAGGGUGCGAGCGUUAAUCGGAAUUACCGGGCGUAAAGCGUGCGUAGACGGUUAUGUAAGUCGGGUGUGAAGGCCCCGGGCUCAACCUGGGAAUUGCAUUCGAGACUGUGUAGCUAGGGUGCGGAAGAGGGAAGCGGAAUUUCCGGUGUAGCGGUGAAAUGCGUAGAUAUCGGAAGGAACACCAGUGGCGAAAGCGGCUUCCUGGUCCAGCACCGACGUUCAGGCACGAAAGCGUGGGGAGCAAACAGG
rnacentral:rRNA from 1 species